rnacentral:rRNA from 1 species
UAACGCGUGGGUAAUCUGCCUUUGUCAAAGGAAUAACUAUUCGAAAGAAUAGCUAAAACCGUAUAACAUAUUAAUAGGGCAUCCUAAUAAUAUCAAAACUGAGGUGGACAAAGAUGAGCCCGCGUCUGAUUAGCUAGUUGGUGAGAUAAAAGCCCACCAAGGCAACGAUCAGUAGCCGACCUGAGAGGGUGAACGGCCACAUUGGAACUGAGACACGGUCCAAACUCC